UGCAUCUUCACAGUGAGGACUGGAUGAUUUUCAUGAUCCCUUCCAGUUCAAAAUCUGUGAUUCUAUGUAAUCAAAUAGCAAUACAAAAAAAAGUUUAAAAAGUGACAUGUUAUAUAUAUAUAUAUAUACACAUAUAUAAAUUAAAAAUUUUUAUUUAACUAAUUAAUUUAGAAUAUUUACCAUGGUUCUUUCCCUCCCCUCCUUGCCCCUCCACUUCCCAUAGCUGGUGCGUAAUUCCACUGAGUUUUACAUGUAUCAUUGAUCUAGUCCUAUUUCCUUAUUAUUGAUAAUUGUACUAGGGUGAUCAUUUAAAGUCUACAUCCCCAAUCAUAUAACCAUCAAACCAUGUGAUCAAGCAGUUAUUUUUCUUCUGUGUUUCUACUCCCACAGUUCUUUCUCUGGAUGUGGAUAGCGCUCUUUUUCAGAAGUCCUUUGGAAUUGCCUUGGAUCAUUGCACUGCUGUACAUUUGAGCUGCAAUUUGGAAUAAUUAGCACUUCCAGCCUAACAUCUGGAGGACCUUACUACUACCUAUAAGAUAUUCUGCAAUUUAGGAUCCAAAGCACUGGCAAAAAAAAAAAUCUCUGGUGAGGAUUUAUCUUCCCUUUUAGGUCGUGAUUGAUGGAAUAUUCUAAGGUUCAAUGAAUGCAUUUAUAACUGUGGUUACAUCUUUUGAGAAAUCUUAUAUGAUUUUGACAUAUGCUUAGGAAGCACCUUAUUGAAAAAGAGCCUUUAGGGUGGCAUUUGAUCAAGUGCUUUUUAUAGCCAAGAAACAAUAAGUAUUCUUUACCCUUUUUGGAAAAUGAGGAGAGGUAUACACAUAUUGCCAACUAGGAUUUUGAAGAACGGGUU
rnacentral:lncRNA from 1 species